rnacentral:sRNA from 1 species
AUUGGGUGCAGUUUUGUACACCUGUAAUCCCAGCUACUUGGGAGGCUGAGACAGGAUGAUCGUAAGUUCAAGGCCAACUUCAGCAACUUAGCAAGAACCUGUCUCAA